GACGAACUUUGGCGGCGUGCUUAACACAUGCAAGUCGAACGGAAAGGCCCUGCUUUUGUGGGGUGCUCGAGUGGCGAACGGGUGAGUAGCACGUGAGUAACCUGCCCUUGACUUUGGGAUAACUUCAGGAAACUGGGGCUAAUACCGGAUAGGAGCUCCUGCUGCAUGGUGGGGGUUGGAAAGUUUCGGCGGUUGGGGAUGGACUCGCGGCUUAUCAGCUUGUUGGUGGGGUAGUGGCUUACCAAGGCUUUGACGGGUAGCCGGCCUGAGAGGGUGACCGGCCACAUUGGGACUGAGAUACGGCCCAGACUCCUACGGGAGGCAGCAGUGGGGAAUAUUGCACAAUGGGCGGAAGCCUGAUGCAGCAACGCCGCGUGCGGGAUGACGGCCUUCGGGUUGUAAACCGCUUUCGCCUGUGACGAAGCGUGAGUGACGGUAAUGGGUAAAGAAGCACCGGCUAACUACGUGCCAGCAGCCGCGGUGAUACGUAGGGUGCGAGCGUUGUCCGGAUUUAUUGGGCGUAAAGGGCUCGUAGGUGGUUGAUCGCGUCGGAAGUGUAAUCUUGGGGCUUAACCCUGAGCGUGCUUUCGAUACGGGUUGACUUGAGGAAGGUAGGGGAGAAUGGAAUUCCUGGUGGAGCGGUGGAAUGCGCAGAUAUCAGGAGGAACACCAGUGGCGAAGGCGGUUCUCUGGGCCUUUCCUGACGCUGAGGAGCGAAAGCGUGGGGAGCGAACAGGCUUAGAUACCCUGGUAGUCCACGCUGUAAACGGUGGGUACUAGGUGUGGGGUACAUUCCACGGGUUCCGUGCCGUAGCUAACGCUUUAAGUACCCCGCCUGGGGAGUACGGCCGCAAGGCUAAAACUCAAAGGAAUUGACGGGGCCCCGCACAAGCGGCGGAGCAUGCGGAUUAAUUCGAUGCAACGCGUAGAACCUUACCUGGGUUUGACAUGGAUCGGGAGUGCUCAGAGAUGGGUGUGCCUCUUUUGGGGUCGGUUCACAGGUGGUGCAUGCCUGUCGUCAGCUCGUGUCGUGAGAUGUUGGGUUAAGUCCCGCAACGAGCGCAACCCUUGUUCACUGUUGCCAGCACGUUAUGGUGGGGACUCAGUGGAGACCGCCGGGGUCAACUCGGAGGAAGGUGGGGAUGACGUCAAGUCAUCAUGCCCCUUAUGUCCAGGGCUUCACGCAUGCUACAAUGGCUGGUACAGAGAGUGGCGAGCCUGUGAGGGUGAGCGAAUCUCGGAAAGCCGGUCUCAGUUCGGAUUGGGGUCUGCAACUCGACCUCAUGAAGUCGGAGUCGCUAGUAAUCGCAAAUCAGCAACGCUGCGGUGAAUACGUUCCCGGGGCU
rnacentral:rRNA from 1 species